GGGGUGCUGCUCUAAGAAGAAUUUCUGAGGAAAGAUAGGAUUCACCUGCUGAAAAAAGGAAAGAACAUCUUCUUCAUGAAGAGACUCACUACCCUUAUGAGGAGGACUUUAAGCUAGGUUCAGUGGGGGACAGAGACAGAAGUCUGGAGGAAAUUGUGCAAGAUUGGGCAGAACAGCAGGUCAUUCCUAACCCCUUCAGGGCAACAGCAGCUGAUUGACCGACAACUUAUGCAUCAUCUACACACUUGGCUUUUUCAUGUCAUGGAGGGCUGCUAGGAUGCUGAUCGCAAGGUAAAAAGGGGAAAAGAAACACUUUCUCUUGAAGUUGGGUGAAAUGCACUGAAUGUGUUUGACAGAUCCUUGGCACUAGACCUGUUCACAAAUCACUCCAAGCAAAUUGUUCAUUCACUCUACCUUUCACUGCAAAUGACCAGGAUCCAGAAUAAAGCCCAACCUGUUUGUGCUGAUGAAUACAGAAGGGAUGAGGGAAAGUGUCUGACCAAUUUGCCUCGAUAAAACCGGCGUCUGUUUUCUUGGCUGUCUAGGGUAAAGAGUUGAAAACUCUCUGCUGACACACCAAGUCUUCAUAAGGAUGCAUCUUAUCAGCAUUGCUGACAAAAGUGGAAAGAAGCAGGGGUUCAAGCCCUAGAGGAGCUUGGGAAGAUGGGAGAAAUGCCAGCGUGCAGAAUUAAAUAUCUAUGCCAUGCUUUGGACCUCUUGCCAGGACACCCUGCUUAAUACAGCUCUUGUGUGCAGACCGCACAGAUGGAUUGGCAAAUGCUUUGUAAACUUAUCUUGUUUACAAGCACUGACACCAGGGACCCCCACAACAUGCUUCCUCAGUGACCUGGUUGGGAAGUUACUUUGAUAUCUAAGUCCAUUUACUCUUUACUAAACCUGCCCACAAACAGACUUGAUUAGUCAGAGCCUUUAUAUGUAUAUAAGCAUAAGCUGAAAAGUUUUGAAUGCACACUCAAGCAUGUGCAUGGGAGGAAGCAGCAACUGGCAAGCACUGCCCGUGGAAAGCCGUGGUUCAGUAUAAACAGAGGAGUCCCUGUGUUGGGAGACCAGCUUGCUAUGCUAGCGAGGAAGACAUGUCAGCACCAGUGUAGUAUAGCGGAGUGAAAGCAGAGGUUCUGUGGAGGCCCAAGAAACAGCUGAGAGAUGAGGCACACUUAGUAGGCACAAGGAUGCUGCUGCAUCUCUUCUGGGUACAUUUCAGGUUAGACCAAGCUGAUCUGGCCUCUAAGGAUCUUUUGGAAAGCACAAUAUUAUCAAGGCCUAAGGAUUGACUAGAGAAGACAGGAAGGAUUAAACUAAAGAGAAGUGGUCCUACUGGCUGGCUGCUGCAACUCAGUGGUACAGUACCAAACUAUGAUGUGCUGCUGAGGAGAGUAUUUCAAUGACAAGGUGAUCAGGCUGUGAUGGGAAGAUACAGAGUGCAGCUACAUGUGCAAUUAAUGUGAACCAAUAAACUCCAACUGUAGCAUGUUGAGCUAGAUCAGAGCAGCCCUGGCUGGCAGAGGCCUGGGGGGGUCAGCCUGCCAGCCCAGUGCUGCGCUAACCUGGCUCAGUGUGCUGCCCUCAAAGGCAGCCCCCGCACUGAAGCACCCACAUGUCCCAGCUAGCCGCAUCAGUGUCUACACUUGCGUUGCUGUGCACUAAAGAAUGCUGCCAUAGGUUAGUACUUGUAAACACAAGGCAGGGUUAGUUUACUGAGGUAUAAUAGGGCUGCACAUGUAGAUGCUGAGACUUUACUGUGGAGCUAAUUAGGCAGCCCUGCAGCAAACAUAUUGUGUAGAUGCACCCACAGAGUGGAAGAGAUCAGUCAAAAGGAACUGGCCAUCGAGAAGUGCUCAGAAAGGAAUUUGCAUGAAUGCAAACUGCUUUCUUUCACUAGGAAAGAGUCACUUUAAGGAAAAAUGCCGCUCUUCUUCUGUGCCCUGAGAUCCUUCCUGCUGUUUUACUACAGGUGGCCUUCUCAUAGCAUCAUAUCAGGAGAGAGGAAACUGAGAACACCACAGAUGUCGUUGUGGACCUGUUUCAUCUCCUAUUGGCUUGGGCCAUCCUAUUGUUAUCAGCCUAAAUGGUGCAAUAUCUGUUAAGUUACUAAUAUCAUUGUUUUGAAAAUGGAAACGGAGUCACCUGGUAUGCUGAAGGGCUGCGGAUCCACAGCCCAUUCACUUUUAUUGGUGAUGUAGGUACUAAAAUCAGGCCUUUGUGUCUGAGAAAUAGCGAUACCCCAGAUCACUGGGCAUAUUAACAAAAGUUGGACUCCCAUUGCUAGAGACAGGCCGGAGCCAGAGUUUGUAUCGAUAUCUGAAAUGCCCCCAGAGUUCAGGGGCUUUUUCUGGCUCGGGAGAGAUGUCACAGCCAACUGCACACCAAUGGGAAGUUCCUCAGAGCUUGCAUCUAGGGAGGAUGGGGUCAUUGCACUUAGUCUUGCACUUAGGAUGGAACAAUCCCAUGCACCGCUACAGGCUGGGGGCUGACUGGUUAAGCAGCAGCUCUGUAGAAAAGGACCUUGGGGUUAUCAUGGACAGUAAGCUAACAACAGCGUGCCCUUGUUACCAAGAAAGCUAACAGCAUCCUGAGCUGCAUUAGUAGGAGCAUUACCUGCAGAUUGAGGGUGUCACAACCCAGUGAUUUUAGUGCCUUGGCACGAUGGAAUUUUCCCGCCACAUGAGAGUCUCUGUAGACAGCAAAAGUUUUCUGCUGCAACAGAAAACUCUGGUGCAAGAGAGUUCCCACCAUUCGCAUGCAAAUUUGUGUUCCACUGUUGGCCAGUUCUAAAUUAUUCCUACGUGGCGGCUAGUGAUUGGCUUGCUAGCCGUAUAAAAUUCUGUGCGACUUCCGCCCAAGUCGGAGAACUUUGAGCACGCUGCAGAGUGCCUUUGAAGAUUCCUGACUUGCGGCUGAGCUGAUCGAUAGCCUGAUCACCUAUCGAUUCUUCUCCCCAUCGCCGAGCGCAAUCCUUCGACAUACCCUUUUCCCUGCCGGCCUGACUCGUGUAUGGAUUCGCUGGCCUGAGCCUUGCCAGCUGGAGCAACUCGUGUAGUUGUUUAAGCGACCGGACCACCUGCAUCAUGACUACUAGCGGCGUAAGUAAAGCUUUUUGCAACCAAUACGCUUUGUCUGCCUCUCCAUUCACCAG